UUGCAUGUCAAUUUUUCCCCCCAUCUAGUAGUGGCCGGCCAUGACAUUAGGAUGGACAAAGGGUGAUGGGCAAAACAUGUCAUAGACAUGUUGUGUUGGUGCAUCAUGGGAGGAAACAAUAAAAUAAAAUAAAGAGUAUGGGUAAUAAAAUAAUAAUGGAAAGGUAAAUGAUGAUGAAAAAAAUUGUCUCAUCCAUGUUUCCCCCC
rnacentral:lncRNA from 1 species